rnacentral:lncRNA from 1 species
CACAGGUGAGAGAGUUUGAGUGCACAGGUGUGCGUGCGUGUGAGCGUGCGUGCGUGCGUGCGAGAAGGUCAGAGUGCGCCGCGUGUCCGUGAGUGAAAGUGCGCGUUUUUGUGUUCAGAUGGAGGACGCCCCCAGCUCCCAGAAGAGCGGGCGACUUUCUUCCUCUCACGACUUGGGGAGAGGAGGAGGAGGACCGUUUCCGACGUGGACAGGUUUCGGCGUCUUAGGGGUGAGAGCAGCUGUUUUCACAAUGUUGCCUGUUGAAGAAUCCAGGCCCGUUGUCUCAUGGAAGGUCCACGUCCAGGAUCUGCCUGUGUUUCCUUACAAUGUCAUUGAACUUGUUCCUCUGGCCCCUGUAUUGCCUAUAAACUUGAAGGUAGGCCUGGCGACUUGAUUAGAUACUUCUUAGCCCAUCUGGGGGAGACUAACCCAUGGGCAGGGCUCCCUUGGUGCUGACCUGGAGGCCCUCAGGAGGUUGCCCACCACAGUCCCAUGUCAUGCUGAGUUGCUGACAGCUGGGUCUCCUCAUUGUAAGGGGUCAGUUUCCUUGAAGGGAAAUGUUUGUCCUAUCCUGUCUCUCCCUCUUNUUUUUUUGGUCUUUCUGUCUUUUUAGGGCUGCACCCGUGGCAUAUGGAUGUUCCCAGGCUAG